ensembl:lncRNA
UCUCCUGGUCUCCUCCCAUGUAGACAGAGAGAGAGAUCACUCCAUGAAGAGGGACAGAGGGAGAGGAGGGUGUUCUCUUCAUCACUCCAUGGUGUCCUGGUUCUCCUGGUCUCCUCCCACGUAGACAGAGAGAGAGAGAGAUGAAGAGGGACAGAGGGAGAGGAGGGUGUUCUCUUCAUCACUCCAUGGUGUCCUGGUUCUCCUGGUCUCCUCCCACGUAGACAGAGAGAGAGAGAUGAAGAGGGACAGAGGGAGAGGAGGGUGUUCUCUUCAUCACUCCAUGGUGUCCUGGUUCUCCUGGUCUCCUCCCACGUAGACAGAGAGAGAGAGAGAUGAAGAGGGACAGAGGAAGAGGGACAGAGGGAGAGAUGAGGGUGUUCUCUUCAUCACUCCAUGGUGUCCUUGGUUCUCCUGGUCUCCUCCCACGUAGACAGAGAGAGAGAGAUGAAGAGGGACAGAGGGAGAGGAGGGUGUUCUCUUCAUCACUCCAUGGUGUCCUGGUUCUCCUGGUCUCCUCCCAUGUAGACAGAGAGAGAGAGAUGAAGAGGGACAGAGGGAGAGGAGGGUGUUCUCUUCAUCACUCCAUGGUGUCCUGGUUCUCCUGGUCUCCUCCCAUG